AAGGCCUGAGGGUUGUAAAGCACUUUUGUUGGGGAGGAGGGACGAUUGGUUAAGAGCUGGUUGUUCGGACGUUACCCAAAGAAUAAGCACCGGCAAACUCCGUGC
rnacentral:rRNA from 1 species